GACGAACCGAGCGAACGUUGUUCGGAAUCACUGGGCUUAAAGGGCGCGUAGGCGGGUAUUCAAGUCUAUGGUGAAAUCCGGCAGCUCAACUGUCGAAUUGCCGUGGAUACUGGGUAUCUCGAGGGAGGUAGGGGCGUGCGGAACUAAUGGUGGAGCGGUGAAAUGCGUUGAUAUCAUUAGGAACUCCGGUGGCGAAGGCGGCACGCUGGACCUCUUCUGACGCUGAGGCGCGAAAGCCAGGGGAGCAAACGGGAUUAGAUACCCCGGUAGUCCUGGCCCUAAACGUUGGGUACUAGAUAGUAGCCUUCACAUGGGGUUACUGUCGAAGCAAAAGUGCUAAGUACCCCGCCUGGGGAGUAUGGUCGCAAGGCUGAA
rnacentral:rRNA from 1 species